AAGGACAUGGCUGACCUCUUCUGUGAGCCAUUUCCAGAGAAAUCAUGGUUAUUGCCCAUGGACUUCCCUAUCAUUGAUCAAUUCGAAACCUUGGAUCAGAAAUCUUCUCAUUCUUACGGGAACAUGCUGAAGAAUAAUGUCAUAAAUGCUUCUACAGAAUCCGCCCCGUCUUAUAUAUACCUCCAUCUAGUUCUCAUGAUUAUGAUGAUCAUGAUAAGCUUUUCUUUUGUGAUGAAGAUCAAUCUCUUCUUGCUAAGGUCCCCUGGUUGAUUAUAAAAACAAACAACUACUUUGUCCCAUCUCUUUUCUUGAUUACACCUUUUGAGCAAGAGCUAAGCAAAUUAUUUCCUGAAAAAGGAACUGUUUUCCAUCACCUGGGGCGGUACAUUUUCCACCCAUCAAAUCAUGUGGGGACUAAUCACAAGGUAUUAUCAUACUUACUUAGCUAAGGCAGAUGAGAGCAUUGGCAUUCAAAU
rnacentral:misc_RNA from 1 species